GGAGCAGGAGCGGCGGCGGGACCAAAUUAGAAGCGCGUUCCGUGUGCUUGGACUCGAUAAGGUGACUGGGUGCGGGGCUCGACUCGUCACCUGAGGGUCGUCGAGUUCGCGCCCUUCAUAGACAUACACACACAGACACUCACAGCUGCUUCGUGCAGCAGGCAGAGGCAGAACAAGCAGGAGGAGAGGCAGCAGCAGGACUAGUCAGCGGCGCCACAAAUGGACUCGGCGCUCAGUUCCCGGCAG